CCUACGGGUGGCAGCAGUGGGGAAUAUUGGACAAUGGGGGGAACCCUGAUCCAGCGACGCCGCGUGAGUGAAGAAGUAUUUCGGUAUGUAAAGCUCUUUCAGCCGGGAAGAAAAUGACGGUACCUGACUAAGAAGCCCAGGCUAACUACGUGCCAGCAGCCGCGGUAAUACGUAGGGAGCAAGCGUUAUCCGGAUUUACUGGGUGUAAAGGGAGCGUAGACGGUGCGGCAAGUCUGAUGUGAAAGGUCGGGGCCCAACCCCGGGAGUGCAGUGGAAACUGUUGAACUGGAGUACAGGAGAGGUAAGCGGAAUGCGUGGUGUAGCGGUGAAAUGCGUAGAUAUUAGGAGGAACACCAGUAGCGAAGGCGGCUUACUGGACUGUAACUGACGUUGAGGCUCGAAAGUGUGGGGAGCAAACAGGAUUAGAUACCCUGGUAGUC
rnacentral:rRNA from 1 species